UUUAAAUGUAACCAUAAAUUUUUUUAUUCCCAACUUUAACCGUCCAUUCAUUUAAAAAAAUUAUAAUUAAUAUUUUUAUUGUUAUGAGAUAAUAAAACAUGAAUAUUACUUUAUACGUGACUUAUGAAAAUUAAAAUAAGAUGGAUGGUUAAGGUUGUGCACAGAAAAUAGGAUGGAAGAAGU
rfam:Oryza glaberrima chromosome 9 Oglab09_0132_28, whole genome shotgun sequence.